UACGUAGGGGCCGAGCGUUGUCCGGAUUCAUUGGGCGUAAAGAGCGUGUAGGCGGCCGCUUAAGUCCUGCGUGAAAUCUCGGAGCUCAACUCCGAGCGGUCGUGGGAAACUGGGCGGCUAGAGUGCGGGAGAGGAGAGGUGGAAUUCCUGGUGUAGCGGUGGAAUGCGCAGAUAUCAGGAAGAACACCCGUGGCGAAGGCGGCUCCUCUGGAACGCAACUGACGCUGAGGAGCGAAAGCAUGGGGAGCGAACAGGAUAAGAAA
rnacentral:rRNA from 1 species